rnacentral:lncRNA from 1 species
CUGCCUUGCACUUAGGGAAGGUUCACAUGCCUCAAGGAUCUCUCUCUCUCAGAUUUCUUGACUUUCCCUCAGUCUUCAGUAUAGUCCUCCUCUGUGCCUGGUGAAGACCUGUGGUAAAGUGCUGGCAGAGAGGAAGCUAAAUCACGUAAAAAUUAAGAAACAGCUCAGCGUUUCACAGCUAGGCUAGGCUUACACCCAAUUUAUGGUCAUCUUGCUCAUGCUCAUCCUGCACAAUUUCUAGCAUUUGGAGAAUGUUUCUCAUGGUAGCAUCUAAUGCCUGUGGCUGCUGAGAGAAAGCAGCGAUGAGGGGAAGACACUGACCUCUGUUUGGAGCUGCCGGCUUCCCCUUGAAGGAAUAGGAGUAGACCUGCUGAACUAUCACAUGAGAGAAGAGGCCCAAAAGCUUGCACACUACAGUCAAGCUGGCCCUUAAAGAGAUGGACCUAGAAGAUGCUGAGCCAGAUGUACUCAAUUACUUCUCCAAAAUUCAUCAAUUAGGAAUACAACAUGUUUAAGACCACAGAACAUCUGCAUAGGCUGUAAAUUUCGUUGAAUGAUGGAUGCAAAGAUGGAAGACAGAUGGAUAGAGGAAAAGACAGAAUCAGAUACUGGAUGAGUUAGUACUGCUGCCUGUGCUUCAGAGCUGUCUUAUUACCACAAGGCCGGCAAGCAUCAAUGUCCCCACAUCCCCCUCUGCCUCCCCCUGAAAUGUACCGAUUUAUAUGAAAAUUAAGAUUACAAAUUAAAGCCUGGCUAUCCUGGAGUUUUCCAGUUCAUCAGCCAUCCAAUAAAAAUGAUGUCAAGCCUGUAUGCAUAAUUCCCGGAAGAUUACUUUCGUCCUUACAGCUAAGCCCUGUCCCUGAUAUGAAAGAUCUCUAUCCACUUUUAUUGAAAUAAAGAACUAACAUCAUAAUCCCAAUAUUGAGGUAUAAUCUUCAUUAUCUCCUGACCCUCUUGAGGUUCCCCCAAUCUAUAUUACUUCAGAUUUGGUUUAUGUGUAAUCCUUAUGUAUUUACUUUUAUUGAGAUAGGAUUAAAAACUAAAAAAAAAGCUUCAAAAAAU